CGAAGGAUCCAAGCGUUAUCCGGAUUUAUUGGGUUUAAAGGGUGCGUAGGCGGGCUAUUAAGUCAGUGGUGAAAGCCCCAAGCUUAACUUGGGAAUUGCCAUUGAUACUGAUGGUCUUGAGUACACUUGAGGUGGGCGGAAUGUGUCAUGUAGCGGUGAAAUGCUUAGAUAUGACACAGAACACCGAUUGCGAAGGCAGCUCACUAAAUUGUAACUGACGCUGAGGCACGAAAGCGUGGGGAUCAAACAGGAUUAGAUACCCGGGUAGUCCACGCCCUAAACGAUGAUUACUCGAUGUGUGCAAUACACCGUACGCGUCUGAGCGAAAGCAUUAAGUAAUCCACCUGGGGAGUACGACCGCAAGGUUG
rnacentral:rRNA from 1 species